rnacentral:lncRNA from 1 species
CCAUUUACAGGAGAAGUAGCUGACGCAAUAGCUACUAAAAACCGUUUUACAUGGAGAGAGGCAAAAAAACACAACUGCACCAUGAUUGGACACGAACACUACGUAAAUAUAUCAAGUGGCAUUGACGAAAUAUUUUGGAUAGAUGCUAAAGUAACUUAUUCGCCCUGGAUAGAAUAUUUAGGUAUAUAUAUAAAUAGAAGGUGUGGAAUGAGUGCCAAUGAGACAACUCUCCAUCGAAUUCACAAUUUGUAAAUUAAAAAUCAUUAUAGGUCAAAUUACAGUCAUCAACACAGAGCAUUGGCUCACACAGAACAGCAAGCUAUAAACGGCCCCAAAAUGACAAGUGUCAAACCAUUCAAACAGGAUACCAAACGGUCUAAUCUAUAUAAAAAAAAAAUGAGAAACGAGUACUUCAAGAAGAUUCAUUUUUUACUGUUGCCUGAAGUUUUCAUUGAUAAAUAAAAACAUAGAAAAUUAGGACCAAGACUGCCCAAUUUUAAGCUAGUGAGUUUAUGAAAGAUGCCAAAGAAGCUUUAGUUUUCAAAUGACUGUAGUGUUAAAAUGUAAGUCUUCAUAAUAAAAAAAAUCAUUUUGAAACAACACUCCAUACUUUUUCUACUUAAGGAUGUUACCAAGUUACAAAUGAAAUUGCUGAAAAUCCCGAAUACGUGACAUCAGGACAACAGAUAGAACAGUGUCUGCAAAUUUGCACGAAACAUAAUGUCAUCGGUAUUCAGGUAAAUGAUUUGAAAUAUUGCAGCCGUUAUUGUUAUGAAACUUGUUCAAAGAUACUACGUUCAUCUUAAUCAAAUACACAACGCCAUUACAAAGCAAAAGAAUAGUGUAUAAUAUUUAACUUUAACAAAUUAUACAUUUACUAUUAAGACAGAUAGAUCGGAGUAGCACGUUCAAUCUCAGCAUGUAUGUACCAUAAAGACAGUACAAGUAACAGGACUGACAUCGAAAAAUAUGACCCUACUUGCGACACCAUUUUUUUCGAAACUCGGAUAUUUUUUGGAUAAAUUUUUUAAGACACCUCGAUUUCUAAAAUUUCAAUGUUCUACUGUACAUGAAUUUGAAACUUUUUUAAACAGAAAAACAUAACAUUUUCUUUAUAUAAGCUUUUAAUGAUAUUCAUAUUAAGUGGUGUAUGUUUAUAUACGGAAAUACUAAUAUUAUUGAAAUAUUUAUAAAUGUAUGAAUUCUGUCAUGUCUUAAUUUUUCAUAGAAAAAUGUGAUCUUUUGAAACUUAUAUUAAUGAAGAAACUAUUUUUUUGUCUUAGAAAUGUUUUUUUUUUCUUUUAAAAGCAAGGACGAUGUGCUUGUCUACAACAUCUUCCAAAAAGUAAUGGUGAUUAUGAUCCUGUCUGUGAGUCAAAAGGAUGUGAGAAUG